rnacentral:rRNA from 1 species
UGAGCAAUCUGCCCUUCUCAUCGGAAUAAGCGUUGGAAACGACGUCUAAUGCCGAAUACGACCUCCUUUCGCAUGAUCGGAGGUGGAAAGCUCCGGCGGAGAAGGAUGAGCUCGCGGCCUAUCAGCUAGUUGGUGUGGGUAAUGGCCCACAAGGCGACGACGGUAGCUGGUCUGAGAGGAUGGCCAGCCACAGUUGGGACUGGAGACACGGCCCAGACUCCGUA